UACAGAGGGUGCAAGCGUUAAUCGGAAUUACUGGGCGUAAAGCGUGCGUAGACGGUUAUGUAAGUCGGGUGUGAAAGCCCCGGGCUCAACCUGGGAAUGCCAUUCGAGACUGCAUAGCUAGGGUGCGGAAGAGGGAAGCGGAAUUUCCGGUGUAGCGGUGAAAUGCGUAGAUAUCGGAAGGAACACCAGUGGCGAAAGCGGCUCACUGGCCCGGUACUGACGCUGAGGCGCGAAAGCGUGGGGAGCAAACAGG
rnacentral:rRNA from 1 species